CAGAGAUGCACUGCUAGAGCCUGGAGAGAUCAAUAACAUAAGGCAUAUUCUCUGAAUGUCCUUGGCCUAUAUAAAUAGGUUCUUACUCAUAGGCUAUUCAUCUGCCCGAUUCCCCACUGCAGAAUUUACCAUGGGGCAAAGAUUCGGCUGAGAAUCGCUUCUGGGAUUUCAUCUCAACACACAUGAAAUGCCUGCCCAGCCAACCACUAACCACAGAAGUGACCCACCUCAUUCAGUGACAGGCAUUUUGUUCAACAGGAACAGAAACCAUUGGAACCAGAAUAGCAGGAUGUCACAUGAUGACUAGGAUUAAUGGUGACGCAACCAGCAUCAUAUUUCAUUGGAUAUGAUUGCAGGUGCAGUUAUUGUUCUGUAGUGACUUCAAAAAC